GACGAACGCUGGCGGCGUGCUUAACACAUGCAAGUCGAACGGAAAGGCCCUGCUUUUGUGGGGUGCUCGAGUGGCGAACGGGUGAGUAACACGUGAGUAACCUGCCCUUGACUUUGGGAUAACUUCAGGAAACUGGGGCUAAUACCGGAUAGGAGCUCCUGCUGCAUGGUGGGGGUUGGAAAGUUUCGGCGGUUGGGGAUGGACUCGCGGCUUAUCAGCUUGUUGGUGGGGUAGUGGCUUACCAAGGCUUUGACGGGUAGCCGGCCUGAGAGGGUGACCGGCCACAUUGGGACUGAGAUACGGCCCAGACUCCUACGGGAGGCAGCAGUGGGGAAUAUUGCACAAUGGGCGGAAGCCUGAUGCAGCAACGCCGCGUGCGGGAUAACGGCCUUCGGGUUGUAAACCGCUUUCGCCUGUGACGAAGCGUGAGUGACGGUAAUGGGUAAAGAAGCACCGGCUAACUACGU
rnacentral:rRNA from 1 species